UUACUAAAUUCAAAGGUAUUAUGAUUAAAAAGGGGGUCUUGAGGUCCCUCUUUAAAAAUUUAUGGGUUUUUGUAACCGUUUCCUCAUCCUUGGGGGUGUAACCGUGUAAGUGUUGUUUUCCCUAAAAUAUGAUAUAUACUUGGUCAAAAGAAAAAAAAAUGAUGAUAAAACAGUUAAGUGAAAGAAGAGUAAUGAUAUAGUCACAAACUCUUGUAUAAACUUAUUUUGUACAAACUGAUGUGCCGUUAAUUCAUUAAUUGAAUUAAAUAUCUCUUGACCCACAUGGUUUAUUAUUUAUAUUAUUUUAUAUUUUUAUUCAACCAAUGAAUUAGUGUCACAUCAGUUUGUACAAGAGUUUGUGGAUGUAUCAUCACUGGUGAAAGAAACACUUAUUAUUUUUUUAAAAGCUAAAAUGGUGGAAAGCCUAAGUUUAUUUUUAACCCCUUACUUCUCUCAAGAUUUGAACAUGGAUAUCAGUUAAAUAAAAUUACUUGAAAACCACUUAGUCAUACCCUUGGAAGCAAGUGAAAGAAACCCUUGAUCAUUAUUUUUCUAGCAAAGCGAAUUUAAUUAUAUUAGAGGGAAAAAAUACUUGUAAAAAAUAUAUAAUAAAUAAUUAAGUAAUACUUAGCAACGCUUACGUGCUGAGAUUGUGUCAUGGUGAUAUCUGGAAAACUUGCCACUCCACUUUCAAGUGUCAAUGGAGGUCUGUUAAAAGAGGGGUGGAAACGAAUUUAACAUUAGGCAAAUUAUAUUAACACCAAAAGUGUAAAUGAGAACAAGAAAUUAAUCGAAGGUUCUAAACAAAAUAUUUUUUUAGGAUACAGUUUGUUAUAUAUAUUUUCUAUUUGCAGAUGUGCAAAGGUUGCCUAAAUAAUGAUUACGCUAGCUUCAAAAAGAAAAAAAAAGUGAACUAUCAGAUAACUUAACGUUUAUAUUUGUAUAUUCAAUGAAAAAAUAGGGCAUUCCAAUCAUAUUUAGGGAGCUUGAUAUCUUACAGCUUCAGUAGGGUAUAACCCUUUAAUAAAAUGGAGUGUGACUCACUUGAACCCACCUCUAUUUUACUUAUUUUAAGUAGGCGUACCUUACAGAAAGUGUAAAGUAACCAUUUCCCAUAUUUAGGCAUUUGAAUCUACUCAAAUAACGGAAAAUGAAAAAAGAAAAUGGCAGCAAAGUGUCUAUUUUAACAGUUGACAUUGAUAUUCACAUUAAAAUGUGUAAUUUCAAAUACAAGCUACCUUAGUUUUAUAUCGAUAUGUGAUAUCAAAUAUAAAUGGAAUACCUUUGAAAAUUGGAUGGUGGAGAUUGAUCAGAGUUUGGUUCAUUACUUCCAUCCGAGGAAGAAGAUGAUUCACUUGCUGAUCCCUUUCCCUUGUCCAUAUUCUCCUGCUAACCAAAAUUCAUCAUCGGGUUCUUUUCUCAAAGGCACUUUUAUCUGUUAUAAAAUAUUAAAAAUAAUAUUUUCAAAUAUCUAAAAGUUCUUUAUAAUGGUAUUGAUAGCAUUUCCACAUAUGUAUUACUCCUCACUCUACUAAUUAAGGGCGAUUAACGAUUUUUCUAAUUAGUAAUAAUUCAAUUUAAUUGGAAAGGAGAAAUACAAGAGGCUAUAACCACAUAAUGUAAAUUUGUGAUAAGCUUUAGCUUUUUAUCUCUUUGUAUUUUUAAUGCUCUUUUUGGAUUUUUUUAUCAUUUAGUAAUUGCGUGCCAUUCAAUAACGACAAUAAGUAUUACAAUUAUUAUGAUAAUACUUUAAGAUAGCACAACCUGUUGAUCAAAUCAUUAAAACGAAGCAAAAUGAAAUUAUAUAUUUAGAAAACAUAAAUAUUUAUCAUCUUACUUACAGCCAAUUAAACUUAAUAAUUGUUUCAAGAUAAACUUAUGUUAGGAAAUUGGUGGGUGAAGCAGGACCGCAGCUAAAAUGAAAUUGGAAAUAAAAUAAAGAACAAGCACAAUAGAGGACACUAGAAAUUACGUGGUUCGGCUUUUAGCCUACAUCCACGGGCGAAGACAGAAGGAAAUAUUUUACUAGUGAAAAGGAGUUACAAGUAUUGUAGUAUUUUAGCUCACUUCCCAAAACCCCAAUACACCCAAACUCUCAAAUCACUAUAACUCUUAAAAAUCCUCUCUAAAUAAAGAAAAGAACUGAAGAACUCGAUGAUUUACAAAUGAAGGGAGCCAGCGUUUUUAUAGCCAAAAAUUGGCUACUGUUCAUUUAAUAUUUAAUUAUUAUUUUUAUUUUAUUAAUUUUUCUUUUCUUUUCCUUCUUUGGCCCGGCAUCUCUUUUUCUAACUUCAUAUUUCUUCUUCAAACAUUUACAGCUUCUAGAUUACAACUCCUCAUCCUCCAUUCUUCUUUUGUUUUCUUUGUUUCAAAGAAUGCAGCAACAGCCGCAUUCAAAACAGGGAAAAGUGGUGCCACCUUCUAGAAAAGGUGGUGCUAUUUUCCACAACUUAAAGUUAGCUGUUCAGAUUCAAUAAUUAUACAAAUAAUUAGUCUAAUGUCUGAUUCGCCAUAAUCAUGUUGCCUACGUUGUUGCUAGGCCACAGGAGGAUCUACUCCAGACAAACUUAUCAGUAUUUAUCGGCUUGAUUAAUUCUAUAUUGAUUCAAAUCUCUAAUAACUAGUUCUCAAAAAAAAAAAAAAAUGAAGGAAUAGUGCCAUAUGUACCGAAAAUAACGUAAAAUUUAAUACAGAAGACACAAAAGACAAAACAAAUUAAUUCCUGUAAUGUAGUGAAAUUUUUUUUUUUUAGUCAUUUAGUUUUUUAAUUUAUUUUCUUAUCUUCAAAUAACGAUGUGCCGUUUUUAUUUUUUUUGCUCAUAUAAAUAAAAUAAAAUCUCAAAGAUCUAAGAUUAAGAAAUUACCGCAAGCCUCAAAGUCCCACCAAGAAAACUCCCACGCAUAUCAGCAUCUUGAUUUGACAUAUUCAAUUUUGAUAUCUCCAGCAAACCGGUAAAGUUAAAAGAGUAAAUAAUUAGUACAAAACCAAGCAUAUAUAAACAUUCAAGACAAAAGAUGCUUUAUAAACAAAACUAAUGAUAGAUUAAUUGAGUUUAUCAUCUGAAAGUGAGUUGGUGUAGUGAGCUUUAAGCAAUUAAUCAAGUUAAAUCUAAAAGGCACGACUUUGAGGACAUUUCUUUUAAUCAAAUCUGAUCCUCUUCCUCCUCUAAAACACUUAAUAUUGGAAAACAGUUCUUUUUGCCUCAUACAUGAAAACUAAGAGAAAUUAACAGCUUUUAAAAAUAAAAUCAUGAAAUGAAAAUAGCCAUAUUUAUAAUCAUGAUUUCAAAUCAAAUUAUCAAAAAGAAAAAUAGAAAUUCAAGCACUAACUUUUCUAAGUGCUAGAGCUAAAAAUUAAGUCUUGUUUAUGAGAAUUCUGUUUUUUCUCAUGAAAAAAAAAGUAGUUUGACCAAAUCUUAAAUAUUAAUUAUCUUAAGAAUACCGUAAUAUUUAUUUAUUUCUUUCAAAAGAAAUUGAUUAUCGAUGAAUCCUAGGUAAAGAUUACCAAAAAUCAAAAUUGAGAGGAUGAAGAAGAUAAAAAUAAAAUGAAGGGCAUUCAGGUUUUUGUUU
rnacentral:lncRNA from 1 species